CCAUCUAGUUUGUUGAUUUAAGUACUCUUAUUAUGGCCAAGUUAAAGAAAUUAAACAGUGCUUUUUACCUUCUUUAACUUUCUAAUCUUACUUGUAAGCCAUCAUUAUAGAAAGAAAAAGAUGCUAUUGAAAGAUUUCAUCAGCAUUAAUUAGUUGGUCUUAUUUUAUUGCUUAACUCAUUUCUUCACGUAUCUUUUGGAAGACAACUCCUGCAUAGAACUGUCAGAUGGCAGCUCUUUUGAAGCUUUAAUCUUACGUGAAUGGAAGUGUUUGUGUGGUAGAAGUGUUUCAUGAACACUUGCCAAAUUCUUCAAGCUAGAGGAGCAGUGCCCAGCCAUUUUAAAUAUGUCAAUUUCAUCGAUUAUCAUAGUAAUUCUUAAUUACCUAAUGAUUUCUAAAAUGCAGAAUGACCAAAAGCUACCAGGAAUUCAAUGAUUUUUUUUUAAUCAAACUUGGAUUACUCGUCACAAAUAUAUAUAUCUACAUUUGAUAUGUGUGAUAUACUUAGUCUAUAGACAUAUAUGAUGCUUAAAUGGAUUAAUGGUUCCUUAUGAUAAUUCCAAUAUGCUGCUGGUGUUCAUAGUUAACAGGCUAGAACCACUGGGCUAGACUAUUUCUAUAUUCAUGUUUAAAUAAUUUCCUUUUUUAACUAGGUGCAUGUCCUUAAUUAUAUCCAAUCUUAAAAUAGCCUUAAAUCAGAUAGCUAAUAGGUUCAACCCAGUUCAAGAGCCUCUAACCCUUCUAAUGCUUAGCAAGUCUUAGGUGCCGAAUUGUCCAUUUGGUGGGCCUCAUGUUAGAUACAUCACGCUGCUCUUCAAAGUGUAUCACAGUAUAUUAAGGAUCUUAUUUAACAGAUUUGAGUGGCAAGAGUACACUCAACAGGUGCUACACAACUACAUGAUAAUAUAGUACUCGUCAAUAAGAAUAAGAAAUUCUUGUGCAACCAUCAGUUUAUAAAUUGUUUUUUGAACAGCAGUGAUAGAUUUGGGGCAUUAACCUACACUUUUUUUGUCAAAGGUCUCACUUGAAGGUCAUGCAUUUUAUAGUAUUUUGGAUAAGGGUUUAAGUCAUAGUUUCUAAACUGGGUGUAAUUAACUAUUCCCUAUAGAAGUAGCAAUCAUGAAUCUAAUUAGCAUUAGUCUCAGUGGUCUAAGCUAAUUGAAUCCAGUAUCUAUAAGCAUUAGUUCCAACCACUCAUAAAUGUAGCUGGAUUUCUAAAUGCCAGUUUAUAUCCAUUACUAUAGAUUUAUGACUAUAUUUUUCUAAGCUACAAGUUUGCAGUCUUAUUUAUAAUUAUUAAUAACAUAGGCACAUACAAGUCAGUGCUAGACAGGAGUGGGAAUGCAGAUUUUGUGGGUCAUUGUUAGGGGAAUUCAAUUUUGUGAUAAAUUAGUGUCAUUUACUUAUCAGAAAGCAAUGGCUUAGUUACAAGCCUGCCCAAGAAAGUUAUUUGCACAAUUUGAAUAUGUGGCUUGUUGGCUGAGAUAAAGAAUGUAAAGCAGAAGAGUGCCUGGCUCUUGAUAUACAAUCAAAUUUUAAUGAGUGGUAGUAAGAAUAGCAGUAGUAGCAGCAGAAGGAAUAGUAAGUACUGUGGUAGGCUGAAUAAUGGCCCACAAAAGUGUCCAAGUCCUAAUCCCAAGAACCUGUCAAUAUGUAACCUUAUAUGGCAAAAAAAGCACUAUUGAUUAGGAAUCCCGACUCCUGAGAUAGGUUAUCUUCUAGUGGGCCUAGUGUAAUCACAAGGGUCCUUAUAAGGAGACAAGUCAGAGAUGGAAAGAUGCUCUGCACUGCUGGCUUUGAAGAUGGAGGCUGAGACCAUGAGCCAAUGAAUGCAGAUGGCCUUUAGGAGCUACAAAACAUAAGAAAACACCUUCUCCCCCAGAGCUUCCAGAAUGAAUGCAGCUCUGCCAACACCUUGAUUUUGGGACUCUGACCUCCAGAACUGUAAGUAUAAAUUUGUGUUGUUUAAAGUUGCUAAGUUGUAAUUUGUAAUAGCUGCAAUAGAAAACUAAUACAAAUAGUAAAAAUAAUAGUAAUGAUAUUGGAGAAUCAUCAGAGAACUGUUCCAAUAUAAAUUAAUAAUUAAAACGAGCUCUACAAAUGUGAAAAAUUCAAAAGCCUGUUGAAAGUGUUAAAAUUUGUGUGAAAUUCCAAGAGUAGACUACCAGUGGCUUUCCGAAAGUGGUAUAUCUACAUGCUAAAGAUAAACCCAUUUAAAGUAAGGUUUCUUCAAAGGAGCAGUUAAAUACUGAAUAAUGGCAAGCACUACAGUUAGUCAGAUAGCCCAGUAAAACAGAUCUCUUGUGGAAGAUGGGGGAGAAUGGAAAUUGGUUAGUGAAAAAGAUGUAGGAUGGAAAAUCUUAGCAUUGAGAUUGUCUAAUAGUAAAUUUACUUUGCAGAUUCAAGCGUCCUUUAAGUGUUCUUCUUAUGUGGGGAAGAGAACCAAGCUAGUUAGAAAUUACUUAUUAACUAGCUCAGAGCCCAGGAAAUUCCUUUCUCCAGGAUAUAAAGUAGCUUUCUUUUUUUUUUAUUACAGAAAAGUUAAUUUAUUUUUACAUGAAAACAUUUUGAAACCAAUUUUGUGUUUAUUGAAGGAUUUUUCUCAUGCAUAUUAUCCAAG
rnacentral:lncRNA from 1 species